rfam:Brachypodium distachyon strain Bd21 chromosome 1, whole genome shotgun sequence.
CAAGUACUCCCUCCGUCCAACAAAAGAUGUCUCAAAUUUGUCAAAAUUUGGAUGUAUCUAGAUGUGAUUUUGUGCAUAGAUGCAUUCAUAUUUAGUCAAAGUUGAGACAUCCUUUGUUGGACGGAGGGAAUAUAUG